rnacentral:lncRNA from 1 species
GUGGUUUUUAGCAGGUGUGGUAUACUGCUAUAAGGUUGUUUACACGAGUUAGUUGGCGCAAGCCGAAAGUACACAAGACUUCGCAAAAUACACGGAAAUAAUGCGAUAAAACCAAACGCUGCCACUGUUUGAGAGUGAAGAGUUCGAUUGGAUAGGCCUGUUUGAGAUUUAGCUGAGACGCCAAAAGUGCAGGAUGUCCUCUUUAACGGAGGCCCAGGCCAUGCGUGGAGUGGUGAAGCUGGCGGUCCAGUCGCCCGUGGAGGACAGAAGGACAGCUCCUCCACAUCCCUUCACCCUCUGGCUCAUGUACUGCAGCGAGGCUUCAGCGGCGCCUACGGCUGAUUUCCCUGCAUUGCACAAGAAAACACUCAAACACAUGGUGCCUGUCAAUUCGGUGGAUGGGGAAAACUCCUACGUCACAUUGCGAUGGGCCUCAAAAUCACUAGGAUUUGAAUCCUAUUUUAACGUCAGGACAUUUAAAAAAAAAGACACUUGUGUUUCUAUCACCCCAAUAUAACAGUAGAAUAUACAU